UACGAACAAAAUAAGCCAGCUCUGUAGUCAUUUCCCGCAAUAUUUAUUCCGGCAAAACACCCGUAAAAAAUUAAAUAUUAACAAAUUAUGGAAAUGAAAGACGAUUCCGGUGUGUCAGUACAUGCCCCGAAACAAGAUGAAGCAGAUUCAUCAGUGGUCGCAAGCUCAAAUCCUGUUGUUUUUCAGUGUUCUCAGUGUGAUGCUAUUGCAGGUGAUUCCACAUCUUGGGUAUCUGCAAACAAGAUAAUGAGAACCAUAACUUUAGGAAGAGUUACCAGUAAAGUUGGUGUGAAAUCAGCUAUUGAAGUAUCACAGAGUGGCAUUGAUAAAGGGAGUACAUUCUUGCCCAUAUACUGUAUUAACUGUAAUGAGGUGUUAGGGAAACAAUACCUGGCGUCCCCUCCGCAACUCGACUACAUCCGGGGCAGUUUCACUCUUCAUGUGGAGAAAUUAAACAGUUACGAGGUUGGCAGUGCCGAGGCAGGAGGUAACUCUGAUCUAGCAGACAUGGUCAGUGUACCAUCACCAGGUUACUUGAUGGCAAGAAUGAACAAGAUGCAGUUUCUGAUUGUUUCCAUGAAUGACAGAAUCAAGAAUCUAGAAGCUUGCCUUGCUAAUGGUGAAUCUACUGUUCAGCAUUUGGAAACUUCAAACAGACAGCAGUUUACACAUGGAGAAACAGAGAGUGUCUCCUCCACAGAUAAUUUCUCCACAAGACCUCGCACAGAUUCUUUUGGUUCUGCAGUUACAGACAUGGAUAGUCUACAAGAGGAGAAUAUUGGUGGUGGUAGGCAAGAAAGGUUUCCAUCUCGGCAAAUAAAUGAUGAAAAUUUUGAAAGAACCCUGGAACAACAAACAAGAAAAAUUGAUAGAAAUAAUGACUUGCUCCCUAAAGAAAGGUUGACAAGAAGAGGUGUUAGGUCAGGUGCCGGUAGUAUUCGGCAGUUUAAUCAAAGAUCAGGGCAGAAAGAACCUUGUACUAACACAAUGACUGAUGGAAACCAGUGUGGAAUAUAUAAAGAUGUUGACAUUGAAGACACUGAAAAUGAGCAAAGAAAUGAACAAAGAAACAUUGGUAAAAGAGGGAGAACAGCAAGGCCGGAGACAGAUGGAAAGAAAGUUGGGAACGAAAGGUCAGGUGAACAGUCAACCACAGCUUUGCAAGGCAUAAUAACCAAAGCUCUACAAAGUCAAAAUAAUGACACACCUAGACCAGGGAGGAAUAAUGUAAACCAGCAAGGAAGAAAUGCUAAUCAUGAGGGGAAUGAUGGAUUUACAUCACCUAAUGAAAAAGUCGGUAGAAGAUCGUUGUGUAGAAAUCGACCAGUGAUUGAAACAUGGCCUUCACCUGGGAUAGAAAGAAGAGAGAGUAAGAAAAGGAAAAUGUUUGAUCCAAAUGACAGUCAGUAACUUUAGUUUAUAUCUCCAUAUAAGCAUCAUACUAUAAAAGGAUAUAUUUGUAUGUUUUAUAGUGAUUUAAAACAUACUUAGAACUCUCAAGCACUUGGUUAAGUUAGAUAAAUAUGGGAACAUGUUCGAGCUGAAUGUAUUUUCUUCUUUGAUAAGAAGGAUUCUAACAGAUAAGGUUUUGUUUGUUUGAGUUAAGAUUGUUUUACAGAAUUUUGAAUUUUUCCGUUAAAGAAUCACAAUCUUCUAAAUUUGCUGCCAUUGCUUGUAGGAUUUCGUCAAGACUAUUGCAAGAGAUAUUACGUGCAUACUACAAGUAUACUGUGGAAUCUGUCUAAUCCGAACAUACUCGGACCAGAAAAAAUGUUUCUAUUUUAGAACAAAAAAUUAUGCUAUUUGUUACACAUGAUGUGUAGAUUCAUAUUUUUGUGAACAGACUAAUAAGAAAAAUUAUAUUAUAAGCAACAUGUAGAUUGCUUUAGUGUUAUGUGUUUCAUGUUAAUUCAACUUCUUAAUAUCACUUGUAAACAUUUUUUUCACCACUCCUACAUUCCCAGAAAAUAGAUAAAAGGAGAAUAUUUUACUUGUCCAGUGAUUGUAGUGAUCCGAUUUAGUACCACUUUCAGUGAAUAAAUUUGCUGCUUUAAAUGGAGAAAUUGCACAAAAAUAUGCGAGGAAGGUACAGAUUAAUAAGGAUCUAUUACAUUGGAAGUACUUAUUGCACGUAUGUGUACUCUUACAAAUUACUGUUCAAACAAAUUCUUGUACUUGCUUCUUUUACACCUGUGUUUAUUGCAUGCAUCUACAAAGCAAAAAUCUGACAUGACUUUUGAUUACCAGUGUUGGGGCCUAUUGCUGUUGACACCUUUAUAAAGAGUGAUAGUUAAAAUUGUAAACAGACUCAAAAAUGUCAAAAGUGAGAAAGAUUUACAUCAGAAACAUUAACUAAGGUUCGAAUUAGAAGGGUAAAUUUUAAUGUAAUUAGAUAUAAAAAUCACAAAAGUUUUUUCGGCUUUCGGAAGUAGAGAGGUCUCGGAUUACAAGGAUAUUUUUACAAUAGAGAAUGAAUAGGAACAACUUGGACCAACAAUUUGUUCAGUUUAGAGAGGUUUUCGGAUUAGAGGGGUUCGGAUUAGGGAGGUUCCACUGUAGUUAGUGUUUAAUUAAUAUUUCCCAUGACAAUUUUUGUUUUGUUUUCUCAUUGUUUUAUGAAAAUGAGACCGUACCAUGUAUGUUGUACAUAACAUUCUAAAAAUCUUGCAUUAGUAGGAUUUUUUUUAUUUUCAAAACAUCUUGAUUAGUUUUGAAUUGAUCAUUCAUAAAACAUUUUUGAAAGUGUACUUUCUAUUAUGAAAUUCACCCUUUUUGGGUUCCACAGGUUUCUGAAAUUUAAAUUUGGCAAUUUUAGUCCCCUACUGGUUGAAAACCAUUUUCAGAGAUUGUAGGAUUGCGCUUUUCCGUCUGCCAUCCUGUUAUGCUGUCCGUCCUACAGCAAUUUCAUGUCCGGUCCAUAACUCUGUCAUUCAUCAAAGGAUUUUAUUAUUGCUUGGCAUAAAUGUUCCUUAUAAUAAGGAUAACCCCUGGGACCCAAUCUCUAAGGUCACGGUCAUGCUUUGGGGUCAAAGGUCAAUCAGACUUUUUUUUUUUUAUUUCGGUCUGUAACUCAGCAGUCCAUCAAGGGAGUUUAAUAUUUCUUGGCUCUAAUAUUCCAAAUGAUAAGAUGUGUCAUGCACCACUUUCAGACCCUGAGCUAAAAGGUCAGGGUCAUUCUGGGAGGUCAAGUGUUAGUAUGGCAAUAACGGAGUCUGUUUCAUGUCCCUAACUUUGUCAUCCUUUGAAAGAUUUUGAUAUUAGUAGGUACAGAUGUACCCUACAAGCAGACAACCUGUCAUGCACAACACCCUGACCCCUAGCUCAAAGGUCAAGGUCUUCCUUGGAGGUGAAAGGUCAAGUUUUUUCCAGUUUGGUCCAUACUUUUGUCAUGCAGUAAAGGAUUUUGAUAUAGCUUGGCACAAGUGUACCUCAUAAUGAGACAAUUUGUCGGACAUGAUAUCCAAAGCCUUACUUAGAAGGUCAGAAAUUUAGCUAAAAGGUCAAAACUGUCCAUAUUUUGUGUCCAGAACAUAACUAAAUAAAUAUGCAAGGUAUUGCUUUCAAAUUUGGCAUGUUGGUAGGGUAGGGAUGAACUGGGUCUGUAGGUCAAA
rnacentral:misc_RNA from 1 species